CACAAUAAACAUAUGAAGGCUGCACCGCCAACAGGCGGCAAGGCUGGAGUAUUUUAUUACCCUUGUCUUUUUGCGCACUUGUUGUUUCCUGGGGCGGGUUCGCCCGCCUCCAGGACCACAUGAUAAACCUUUUUUUAUGCAGUUGCAAUCAGCGUCAGUACAACAAAUGUAAAUCAUUUA
rnacentral:misc_RNA from 1 species